rnacentral:tRNA from 1 species
GGAGGGUACGGCUCAGUGGUAGAGUGUGUGCUUAGCAUGCAGAGGUUCCUGGGUUCAUUCCCCAGCACCUCCA